GUAGUGAAGGAAACUCUAAUGGAGUGGGUGUUUCGAAGAGAUCAAGGUCAUUGGAUCUUAAGAUGCUGUAUAAGUCUACCAUUCCCAAGGAUUCCGUUGAUAAGAGCUUUAAGAGAAAACACAGGUCUGGGAUUGAUGGUGGUAUGUUGAAAUAUGAUUAAAAAAUGCAAGAAAGUUGGUAACUGAAACAGUUCUUGACAAGGCAUGCAGUGACUGAUGGUAAUGGGCUUCAACAGGGGUCAGUUGGGUUGGCAGGUAGUACGAUUUAUGGUCCUACACGCAAGAAGGAUUUUGCUGGCAGGAAUAGGCAUGAGAAAUAGUGUGAAGUCAGAGAACUUCAAAUCUUUUACGUAUUUGUUUCUAUUGCUGCACUUUCUUAUAAUUCCCACUUUCUGAGGCAUUUGAAGGUGAAUGAAUAAGAAAUUCCUGCUACAGCAUCCUUAUCAUUUCCCUAACUAAGCAACAUAACAUAUUAAGAAAUAAGUCCAACACGUUUCAGGUUCGAUCCACCUGCUGCGCGAAACUAAGUCACAAUUAUCCUGGUCACCCAACACGGAUAUGGGCCUAUGCUUUAGGACCCAUUUGAAUACCCGGAGAGAGGGUCUAUCUGUGGGCUGCACCUCCCCUUGGGGAUUAGUCCGGGCCUCUCCAUGGACCUGGGAUACCCCCAGGUUAACAAAAAAAAAAAAAAAAAAAAAUAUGGUUUCAUGACAUUUGCAUAUUAACAACAAUUAACAUGAUACUUAGAAAUUAAACUUAACGAGAAUUAAAUAAACAUAACAUCAUGCAUGCACAACUUAAUUACUUCAUAGCAAGAAGAGAAAAGUGUUUACACGCUCAAUCGGUGAAGUUUAAGUUUCUUUUUCGUUUCAGUUCUUAAAAAUUCGACGACCAACUUACUCGCUCUUGCUUUGCGUAAUCUUCAUCUCCAUUUCUUUAUUUCAUAUCACUUAUAUAUCUUUACUUUGUAUUUUUUUUUUGUCAAUUUUCACUUUGUAUAUGCUCAGUAUCUCAUAUAUACUCCAUAUUCUUAUCUAUAUAUAAUAGCAAACUCAAUUUUGUUGCCUGAUGACGUCAUCAUUUUUUUAUAGGAAAAUAAAAUCUAAAUCCAACGGUUGAGUUUAUCAGUACUUUGUAAUCUAACGGAUAAAAUUUUCUUUCCCUUAUAAAAUCCAACGUCAGCAAUCUCUUUCAGCAAAAGACGUGUUCUUUUGACCUAAAUCAACGUUUCUCUAAACGACACACUCCUUCAUAUACGUCCCGUUGUAAAAGGUAUCUCAUUUGUUUUCUUUUGGAUCAACGCGUCUUAUCAAUUACACCCUUUUGGAGUCGCCUCUUUUUUCAAUCUAUAUAUAUGGUAGUUUCAAAUUAAUUUUCCCUUUUACAUUCACUCAUCGUCUAAGUUUUAAAACAUAUUUAUUUUUCUCUCAUACAGUCUAUGUAGCACGGGGACGUCUAUUUAGGUGCCGUACCGGUACCGGAAACGUUUCGGGGACGGGUACUUCACGGGGACAGCACUGGUACGGCUUGGGGACGGUUAGAGAACAUAGCUAUGAGGGCAUCUAUCUCUUUUAAAGUGUUUCCGAUUGCAUAGGAGGAGAUGGAGUGAAUCAUGUCUUCUUUUUGGCCAACUAAGAUUACUUACCGAUUUCGAAUUUAUUUUGUCUCUGACAUUGGUACUUUCCAAGUUUUUUACUGCAGUUAAUUAUAAUGUUUUCUACUCAAUUUUCAUUUCACUUUUUUGUAUUUUUGUUAAUUGGUAUUUGAUGCUUUGCCAGAAGAACUGAUCUGAAAGUUGCUUUUUCUAUUUUCUAAUUUUAUUGAUGUCCCUUUUCAUACGUGUAUUGUUCAAACAACACCCAAUUAUAAUUGAAUAAGGAACAAUUCUCUUUAAGGCACUGAACCAUGUGGGAGACAAACGUUUGAAAAACAGAGAAGGUGAAAAUUGGUUGACUGAAGAAUUUGAUUAUGUUUUCCCAGAAACUAAUUGGUUUACGAACCUGCCAAUAUACUAACUGCUUUUAUUUUGAUUGUACCAUGUUCGUUUGAUGCUUUAACUAGACACAGAAGACACAGUUAUCAUAUACUUAAACUCUACCAUACAUAGAAAAGGAGUUAGUGAAGAAUUUGAUGGUUUGAAGUUAAGUGAUACUAUGUAAAAGUCAUUUAUGAAUCUUUUUUUUUUGGGUUUCAAAAAAGUUGAUCCAGAUUAUUGGGAAUUUGUAAUUAAAAUAUUUUUAAGAGGGCAAAAGCAGUCGUUGAAGUGGGGAAGUUUGGACUUGGAGAAGAAGUGGAGAGACUCAUACGGUAAGUUCCUAUGAGCAUUUUUGAUCUUUAUGCAGGAUGUUACAAAUCACUGAAUUACAAAUACAAACAUUGGUUCCGAUCAGUGACAUGUAGUAUUAAUACUGAAUUACAGUAUGAUUUGUAAUUCGAUAUAACUUGAAGUAAAAAUUAAUCAUAGGUUCAGUUCAAAAAAAA